rnacentral:rRNA from 1 species
GUGAAUCAUCGAAUCUUUGAACGCACCUUGCGCUCUCUGGUAUUCCGGAGAGCAUGCCUGUUUGAGUGUCAUGAACUCUUCAACCCACCGGUUCCUUGUUGAACCGAGUUGGUGUUUGGUUUUUGAGUUGUUGCUUUUUCGUAAUGAUCAAGCUCACUCGUAAUACAUUAGCAUCUCGAUUUCGAAAUUUCGGAUUGAUCUCAGCGUAAUAGAUCAUAUUCGUUGUAGGUAGCACUUUAUUUAGUUGGCGGAAGUUAUGAUAACAGUAGAAGCUUCUUAAUCCUACUAGUCAACUUUAUGAUUAGACCUCAAAUCAGGCAGGAUUACCCGCUGAACUUAAGCAUAUCAAUAAGCGGAGG